UACGUAGGGUGCAAGCGUUGUCCGGAAUUAUUGGUGCGUAAAAGGGUGCGUAGGUGGCGUCGUAAGUCAGGUGUGAAAUCUCGGGGCUUAACUCCGAACUGCAUUUGAUACUGCGGUGCUUGAGGACUGGAGAGGAGACUGGAAUUCAUGGUGUAGCAGUGAAAUGCGUAGAGAUCAUGAGGAAGACCAGUGGCGAAGGCGGGUCUCUGGCCGAUACUGACGCUGAGGAGCGAAAGCGUGGGGAGCAAACAGG
rnacentral:rRNA from 1 species